UGGGGAAUAUUGCACAAUGGGGGAAACCCUGAUGCAGCGACGCCGCGUGAGCGAAGAAGGUUUUCGAAUCGUAAAGCUCUGUCCUAUGGGAAGAUAAUGACGGUACCAUAGGAGGAAGCCCCGGCUAACUACGUGCCAGCAGCCGCGGUAAUACGUAGGGGGCAAGCGUUGUCCGGAAGCACUGGGCGUAAAGGGUUCGCAGGCGGAAAUGCAAGUCAGUUGUGAAAGGCAGAGGCUCAACCUCUGUAAGCAAUUGAAACUGUAUUUCUUGAGAUGUGGAGAGGCAAAUGGAAUUCCUGGUGUAGCGGUGAACGGCGUGGAUAUUAGGAAGAAUUCCGGUGGCGAAGGCGACUUGCUGGACACAAACUGACGCUGAGGAACGAAAGCGUGGGUAGCAAACAGG
rnacentral:rRNA from 1 species